UACGGGGGGGGCAAGCGUUGUUCGGAAUUACUGGGCGUAAAGGGCUUGUAGGUGGCCAACUAAGUCAGACGUGAAAUCCCUCGGCUUAACCGGGGAACUGCGUCUGAUACUGGAUGGCUUGAGUGUGGGAGAGGGAUGCGGAAUUCCAGGUGUAGCGGUGAAAUGCGUAGAUAUCUGGAGGAACACCGGUGGCGAAGGCGGCAUCCUGGACGACAACUGACGCUGAGACGCGAAAGCGUGGGUAGCAAACAGG
rnacentral:rRNA from 1 species